ACGAACGCUGGCGGCGUGCCUAAUACAUGCAAGUCGAGCGGAGUGAUGAAGAAGCUUGCUUCUUCUGAUUUUAGUCGGCGGACGGGUGAGUAACACGUGGGCAACCUACCUUGUAGAUUGGGAGUAACUCCGGGAAACCCGGGGACGUAAUACCGAUAAAUCCAUUUUGUCUUCAUGGCGAGAUGUUGAAAGAACGGUUUCGGUCUGUCACUACAAGAUGGGCCCGCGGCGCAUUAGCUAGUUGGUAGGGUAAUGGCCUACCAAGGCGACGAUGCGUAGCCGACCUGAGAGGGUGAUCGGCCACACUGGGACUGAGACACGGCCCAGACUCCUACGGGAGGCAGCAGUAGGGAAUCUUCCACAAUGGACGAAAGUCUGAUGGAGCGACGCCGCGUGAGUGAAGAAGGUUUUCGGAUCGUAAAACUCUGUUGUAAGGGAAGAACACGUACGAGAGUAACUGCUCGUACCUUGACGGUACCUUAUUAGAAAGCCACGGCUAACUACGUG
rnacentral:rRNA from 1 species